rnacentral:rRNA from 1 species
GACGAACGCUGGCGGCGUGCCUAACACAUGCAAGUCGAACGGAAAGGCCCUGCGUUUGUGGGGUGCUCGAGUGGCGAACGGGUGAGUAACACGUGAGUAACAUGCCCUUGACUGUGGGGGAACAUCAGGAAACUGGGGCUCAUACCGGAGAGGAGCUGCUGCAGCAUGGGGGGGGUUGGAGAGAUUCGGCGCUUGGGGAUGGGCUCGCGGCUUAUCAGCCUGUUGGGGGGGUAGGGGCUGACCAAGGCUUUGAAGGGUAGCAGGCCUGUGAGGGUGACCGGCCACCUUGGGUCUGAGAUGCGGCACCGACUCCUACGGGAGGGAGCAGGGCGGAAGAUUGCCGAAUGGGCGGAACCCGGGUGCAGCAACGCCGCGUGCCGUAUGACGGCCUUCUGGUUGUAGACCACAUUUGCCUGUGACGAAGCGUGAGUGACGGUAACGGGUACAGAAGCACCGGCUAACUACGUG